rnacentral:snRNA from 1 species
AUUGCUUCUCGGCCUUUUGGCUAAGAUCAAGUGUAGUAUAUUUCCACUAUGAGAAUCCCUAUUAUUCAGGGUUGCAAAUUUCCCGAAGCCUAGAUAGCUGUUUAGCAAAUGUCAGGUGUUUUUUGGUACAUGUCAGAGAGUUAGGGGUAGGUACUGAUUUUCUGCUACCAUCUCUAUGAACUAAUGACCAGAUGGCUAGUUA